GUGUCAGCCGCCGCGGUAAUACGGAGGGGGCUAGCGUUGUUCGGAAUCACUGGGCUUAAAGGGCGCGUAGGCGGUUGUGUAAGUCCAGGGUUGAAGGCCCCGGCUCAACCGGGGAAAGGCCUUGGAGACUGCAUGACUUGAGUGAGCGAGGGGAGGGCGGAAUUCCUGGUGUAGCGGUGAAAUGCGUAGAUAUCAGGAGGAAGGCCUGUGGCGAAGGCGGCCCUCUGGCGCUCAACUGACGCUGAGGCGCGAAAGCGUGGGUAGCAAACAGGAUUAGAUACCCUGGUAGUCCACGCCCUAAACGGUGGGCACUAGGUGUGGGGCUCGAGAGGGUUCCGUGCCGAAGGGAAACCAAUAAGUGCCCCGCCUGGGGAGUACGGCCGCAAGGUUGAAACUUAAAUGAAUUGACGGGG
rnacentral:rRNA from 1 species